rnacentral:rRNA from 1 species
UCCAGACUCCUACGGGAGGCAGCAGUGAGGAAUAUUGGUCAAUGGGCGCGAGCCUGAACCAGCCAAGUCGCGUGAGGGAGGACGGCCCUACGGGUUGUAAACCUCUUUUGCCGGGGAGCAACGGGCGUCACGUGUGGCGCCACUGAGAGUACCCGGAGAAAAAGCAUCGGCUAACUCCGUGCCAGCAGCCGCGGUAAUACGGAGGAUGCGAGCGUUAUCCGGAUUUAUUGGGUUUAAAGGGUGCGUAGGCGGCUGUUUAAGUAGGGGCUCAAUUGGGGGGGCCCACCCCCUCCCCGCCAUUGAAACUGGCGCUCUUGAGUGGAAGAGAAGUAUGCGGAAUGCGUGGUGUAGCGGUGAAAUGCAUAGAUAUCACGCAGAACCCCGAUUGCGAAGGCAGCAUGCCGGCUUCCGACUGACGCUGAAGCACGAAAGCGUGGGGAUCGAACAGGAUUAGAUACCCCCGUACG